rnacentral:rRNA from 1 species
UACCAGCACCCCGAGUGGUCGGGACGAUUAUUGGGCCUAAAGCAUCCGUAGCCGGUUCUUCAAGUCUUCCGUUAAAUCCAGCCGCUCAACGGAUGGGCUGCGGAAGAUACUAAAGGACUAGGAGGCGGGAGAGGCAAGCGGCACUCAGUGGGUAGGGGUAAAAUCCUUUGAUCCAUUGAAGACCACCAGUGGCGAAGGCGGCUUGCCAGAACGCGCUCGACGGUGAGGGAUGAAAGCUGGGGGAGCAAACCGG